AUGCAUUGCAAACGCUUGGAAUAAUUCAAAAUUACGCAGUUUGAGGUGGUCUUAUCAUUUAAAUCGACAAGUUCGAUUCAACUCAAUAAUUUUUACGUCAUUAAUGAAAUGAGCCAUCCAACAUAAUGAUUGUAUGAGCUGCUUUUUCGUUAGGGAGGUACCGUACUUCAAACUAGUCGCGAAGUGUUGAGUUCAGCAUCAAAACAACAUUGGCACUUAAGUAUCAAUUAACGUGGGUGAAGGUUUGACUUUUCUUUUCUCCUUUUCCUGGCAUUUUGCCGAAUAUUAAGGACCAGGAAAACCAUCAUUCAUCACACUAAGAAAGAUUUGCUGCCAGGAUCCUCCACCUGUAACAUAAUCAACCAAUGCCAUUAGAACCCAAGAAUACAAUUAUUGGCGGUGUGCAUUCCAAGAGGCAGCAUUACACAGUUUACGGGUACGCUUAAGAUUAUGUUCAUCAUCCUGAAGAUUGUAUAUUUAUUACUCUGCUGGUCUUUCUGGGCAAAAUGUGCACCAAACGUACUGGAUUUAACCACGAAGAGAUAUGGAUGUGGUCCGACCCAGUGGUUUAAUUACAGUGCGUACGGAGCGUUGGUGAUGGAGUGCAAGCCCGGUGAGAUUCCUAGAUGCUGCAAUGAUUUGAUGGGUCAUUUUUGCGUUCCUUUUCCGCACAAGGACUGCCAUCGAGGACUAUACUGCUACCCUUGCUGUUAAGUAUUAAAAUGACACACCCAUUAGUACCUAUAAUCACCUACAUAACUGAUUUCUCAUCUUUACUUUUUUAUAAUUUUAUUAUAUAAAUGUGAAACAAAGAAUAAAUAAUGAUGCCUUGCUGCGCAUUAA